rnacentral:misc_RNA from 1 species
GAAAUGCGAUAAGUAAUGUGAAUUGCAGAAUUCAGUGAAUCACCGAAUCUUUGAACGCACCUUGCGCUCCUUGGUAUUCCUUGGAGCAUGCCUGUUUGAGUAUCAUGAAAUCUUCAAAGUAAAUCUUUUGUUAACUCAAUUGGUUUCUACUUUGGUAUUGGAGGUCUUUGCAGCUUCACACCUGCUCCUCUUUGUUCAUUAGCUGGAUCUCAGUGUUAUGCUUGGUUCCACUCGGCGUGAUAAGUUAUCUAUCGCUGAGGACACUGUAAAAGGUGGCCAAGGUAAAUGCAGAUGAACCGCUUCUAAUAGUCCAUUGACUUGGACAAUACUUUUAUGAUCUGAUCUAAAAUCAGGUAGGACUACCCGCUGAACUUAAGC